AGGAGAUUUUCUAAAUGAGUCUGGACUUGAGGAGACUGGUCAGCACUGAAGAGAGAAAUCUGGAGUCUUGAGUAGAUACGAUUCUACUUUAAGAUAUAAGACUGGAUGAGAGAGAAUGUAAUAGAGAAAAGAUAUUCAGAACUGAGCUCUGGGCACAUCAAAAUAGAAUUUCAGAGGAAACAGCACCAACGAGUAAAAGGAAAGUAAAGGGCUGACGAAGAAGUCGUGGAAACAAACUAUUUCAACAAGAACAUCAUCUAACAACACAGGGACACUAUCAGAAGAAGACCACGAAAGGUUAUGCCCUUUGGAGUCAAUAUUGAGGUUCUCUAUCACACUGGAAAGAAACAGACCUCAGACAACGGAUUACUAACCACACUUCACUGAAAGCACCAUCAGAGAAACAUGUGACAAAGACAUGGAGAUCAAUGUGCUACUCUGGAAUAUCUCUGCAUUUCCCCAAGACUGUCCUGAAAGACCAGCAAUGGAGAAUAGUUGUACCAGGAGUGGAGUGGUCAGAUGUGUCUGUCUUUGUCAUACAUUGCUAGCAAUUUUGGUUGUUUCUCAAUAAACAUUUUUAAAAUUUAUUUUCCCUAAAUUGUUCACUGUUCACAUUCAUCCAUUUAUCCACUUACUCAAUAAUUAUUUUUUGAGUAUCUAUUCUGCGGUGAAAUUAAAGACCAAAGUAGGGGAUAGAGAAGUAAAGUUGAGAUCACUGGGCUUUAUUACUUUUUAAAGCCAGGGGAUAGCAAUGACGUCAGCUUGAGAAUGAGUUACAAUAGCAACCAGUAAAGGAUAGCACUGGCUUUAAACAAAAAUAAACCACCAGAAUAUAUUUUCUGAUUUAUCUGUGUUUCUGAUGAGGACAUCCGUUUAUCUAUUUUAAAUGAAGUGUUGCUAGAUACCCACCAGUUUUCAAGAAUCUAACCACUGGGUAAAUAAAAGGAAAAAAUGGGAAAUUCUGACACAAGAGUGAAAUAUGAAUGAGUG
rnacentral:lncRNA from 1 species